rnacentral:rRNA from 1 species
UGGGGAAUUUUGGACAAUGGGCGAAAGCCUGAUUCAGCCAUGCCGCGUGAGUGAAGAAGGCCUUCGGGUUGUAAAGCUCUUUCAGACGGAAAGAAAUCUCCUGGGUGAAUAUCCCGGGAGGAUGACGGUACCGUAAGAAGAAGCACCGGCUAACUACGUGCCAGCAGCCGCGGUAAUACGUAGGGUGCGAGCGUUAAUCGGAAUUACUGGGCGUAAAGCGUGCGCAGGCGGUUGCAUAAGACAGAUGUGAAAUCCCCGGGCUCAACCUGGGAACUGCGUUUGUGACUGUGCGACUGGAGUACGGUAGAGGGGGGUGGAAUUCCUGGUGUAGCAGUGAAAUGCGUAGAGAUCGGAAGGAACAUCAGUGGCGAAGGCGACACUCUGGUCUGACACUGACGCU